UUUAUAACCAAAACAAACAUCCAGAUCCAGUCCUUUGCGAGUCCUUCCAGCAGUUCCGGCAGCAGGCUAUCGGCUUCCCAAGUGCAGCGGAAAGCUUCUCCGGACUCCGGACGGUUUUCCGACUUUUUGGGUUAAUCCUGCUUCAUUCAUUAUUGGUAUCGCGGGAUCCUCUGGAGAACAGUCACACCGAUUGCGAAAAAAUUGCAAAACAGAUUCUGUAAUUUCGAGUCACAUAAAGUCCAAAAAAUGUACCGAGGGCGUUUGGUGUGCAACGUACUUCGGCAAUAUUGCCGUACUAUUCCAGUUAGUCCGUUAGGUGUGCUCAACAGUCACAUUGGCAGACGGAUUCCAUCACUACAGAACCAAAUAAUAAGAUCUUGUGCAUCGUUAGAAACGCACAUUUGCCGAGGGCAGCAUCUAGGUACAAUUGAGAGCAACCGUCUUCAGCUCACGUACACUUGUAAGCGAUGUGCGGCCAGGAAUUCACAUUUCAUAUCGAAACAAGCCUACGAGAAAGGUGUGGUUAUAGUCACGUGCGAAGGAUGUAACAACCAUCACAUCAUCGCGGAUAAUCUGAACUGGUUUACCGACCUCAACGGGAAGAAGAAUAUAGAAGAAAUUCUAGCAGAGAAAGGUGAAACAGUAAAACGAAAUUGAGAGUGAAA